rnacentral:rRNA from 1 species
GACGAACGCUGGCGGCGUGCUUAACACAUGCAAGUCGAACGGGAGUAUUGAAGAAGCUUGCUUUAGAGAUACUUUAGUGGCGGACGGGUGAGUAACGCGUGAGGAGCUGUCCAAUGCAGGGGGGACAACAGUUGGAAACGACUGCUAAUACCCCAUAAGCCGAGAGGUAAAAGGAUUUAUCCGGCAAUGGAGGUACUCGCGUCCUAUCAGCUAGUAGGUGAGGUAACGGCUCACCUAGGCGAAGACGGGUAGCCGGCCUGAGAGGGCGAACGGCCACACUGGAACUGAGAUACGGUCCAGACUCCUACGGGAGGCAGCAGUGGGGAAUAUUGGGCAAUGGGGGGAACCCUGACCCAGCGACGCCGCGUGGGUGAAGAAAUCCUUCGGGAUGUAAAGCCCUGUUGUAUGGGAAGAGCGGAAGACGGUACCAUACGAGGAAGCCCCGGCAAACUAACGUG